ACGGGGGGGGCAAGCGUUGUUCGGAAUUACUGGGCGUAAAGGGCUCGUAGGUGGCCAACUAAGUCAGACGUGAAAUCCCUCGGCUUAACCGGGGAACUGCGUCUGAUACUGGAUGGCUUGAGUUUGGGAGAGGGAUGCGGAAUUCCAGGUGUAGCGGUGAAAUGCGUAGAUAUCUGGAGGAACACCGGUGGCGAAGGCGGGUCUCUGGGGCUUUUCUGACGCUGAGGAACGAAAGCCAGGGGAGCAAACAGGA
rnacentral:rRNA from 1 species